rnacentral:lncRNA from 1 species
UUUUUUAUUGCAAUCAGCAUUCGUUCCCUACUUCAGGCAAUUUGAGCCUGUCUAUCUAACUAUCCUCUUAAAUCUUUGUUCCAGAUGCUUUAUGCAGGCCUCCUCCGCCCCACGCUGAAGUUGCCAGCUUCACAGAGUUGCAACCUCUUGAUUCAUCGUACAGGCCAGUAUCCACAUGUGUGACUGGAACUACAAGGUUGCACGCAGACCCACAAGUGCUCGCCUUCAUGGAAA